rnacentral:rRNA from 1 species
UGGGGAAUAUUGGACAAUGGGCGCAAGCCUGAUCCAGCCAUGCCGCGUGAGUGAUGAAGGCCCUAGGGUUGUAAAGCUCUUUUGUGCGGGAAGAUAAUGACGGUACCGCAAGAAUAAGCCCCGGCUAACUUCGUGCCAGCAGCCGCGGUAAUACGAAGGGGGCUAGCGUUGCUCGGAAUCACUGGGCGUAAAGGGUGCGUAGGCGGGUCUUUAAGUCAGGGUGAAAUCCUGGAGCUCAACUCCAGAACUGCCUUUGAUACUGAGGAUCUUGAGUUCGGGAGAGGUGAGUGGAACUGCGAGUGUAGAGGUGAAAUUCGUAGAUAUUCGCAAGAACACCAGUGGCGAAGGCGGCUCACUGGCCCGAUACUGACGCUGAGGCACGAAAGCGUGGGGAGCAAACAGGAUUAGAUACCC